rnacentral:tRNA from 1 species
GAGUGUAUAGCUCAAUUGGUAGAGCGGUAGUCUUUUAAACUAUAGGUUGAAGGUUCAAGUCCUUCUACACUCA